GAAUCCUCCGCCUCCUCCCCUGCUCUCGCCAUCGCCCGCAGAGCUCCACCCAAUCCCUCGCUCGCUCAGUGAGAUCCAAGGCGGCCGCGUCGGCUGGGAGCGGACCCACGCGGGAGGAGGAGUUCGGCGAGCAUGAGCUGGAGGUGGCAGCCAUUCUCGCGGACCUGUCGUCCAUCGUGCGGGCCAGCAGCAGGAGCAGGCGCGGCCGGAGAUCCCCUCGUGGAGCCGGCGCCGGCCGAGGAAGGCCCUAGCGGCUCCGCCGGCCAAGAAGCCCGCGGCCGAUAGCCCGGACACCCUGCUCGCCUUCCUCGACGACGACGAGGCGGCGGCAGCGCAUGACAAGUCGGCGCAGGAGCAGCGCGGCGAUUUUGACGAGUAGGAGAUGGAGCGCGUCACAAGCACCUUGGCUGCACCCUGAGGUUAUCCAUCAGGCAAACUGUCAUCGCACUGUCGUUCACGAUGCUGCUCCCAAGCCUCCCGACGAGAUUGUGCGAGUUGCAACUUACAUGACGCAGAUUCUUUUGCUAUACUUCGGAAGCUGGCAAUAGCAGCGGCAACGUCGACGCAGCCACGGGCUGGACAAAACUUGAUUAGCUUAUUACUGCAUCAAUAAUUUGUGCCUGUAGGACUCUUUCACAAAUCAUGUCAACGAGACUAGCAAUUUGAAGAGGCUGCUGCACAUGAUAUGAAGAUAUUGGCAUAUACAGUCCCAAACAUAAGUUUCAAAAUAGCAGGUGUGGAGUUUAGCCCUGUUCCGCUGUAUGGAAAGCCAUGACCUCCACAUAGAUGAUGCAAGAGGAAACAAGCUAGACUCACAACUUUGGUUUUCAGGCAUCUUCACCAACAAAUAUUACCCUGGUACUGACAGCAAAUCAAGGACUUUAGAGCCUGGUCGCAGACCUCACGGAGCACCAACGAUAGCCUCAAGGUGAUUCAGCAGAGCAAGGUGAUGAGUACUCAGCUGGCUGGCCAAUAUCAAUGAUCUUAUCGGCCGGCAAAGCGGAGACGGACGACCACGGUCCCGACCUUGCCAGCAGGCGGAGACAAUAAAUGGGAUCAAGGGAAGUUGGUCGGGCUCCAGCGGCACAUGCUUACCACUGCUGACUGUUGCCGGGAAAGGUAUGUUGGUUUGAUUCUUUCAAGAUCCCAAACUAAAACAAGUCACCUGUGACAUUUGAAUGAUGCAAAGGUUUGUUGUCUCUUCCCAAGAAAUUGUGUGCAGAGAAGCUGCCUUGAUUUUACAUGUUGAACCUAUUUUUGCAUAAUCAAACACUGACGAUAAGAGAGAUGAAUGUGCAGUAUGCUAAAUUUGGGUAUCCAAUUGCAAAAGAAUUGGAUUAUUAUUUACAUUAGAAGCCAGGUUAUCACUAUGUAUUUUAAAUUGAUCGCUCAUGGACCGCUCAAUUGGCCAUAAACACAACAUAAUUCGAUCCCUCCCUUCAAAUUGGCAACUAAAGGGAAGGUGAGUUAAAAUGUCUCAGCCCCUGUGACCUGGCUGGUUAUGUUUAUAUUACAUCCAAUAUUAUGUGUACUCAUUUGAUCUAAGGUUAUUUUUAAUAACUUGUUUUUUUUGUCACGAACAAAUCGAUGAACCGGCGGUCCAACCGGUGACAGACGCAACGGUUCAGUUGCCCGUUCGGUUUUAAAAAAUAUAGCCCGAUGGCCAUGGUGGAAGAACACAACAUGAAGUGCUUUGUAUCCCGAGAACGACGAGGAGACAUGAGCAGCCGGUGGCAGUGCUUCGCACUUCGAGCAGUAGGGAUACUUGAUCAUAGGGAAAGGGAAGGGAGAUGAGUUCGUGCUUGCAUGAUUUUUAGGGAAAGAGCGUGUGUAUUGUACUUCUGUGUGCAUGAAGUGUUUUGUUUGGGCCAAGCCCAAAUAAUGAAAAUAAAACACUAUCUCUAAAACUA